rnacentral:rRNA from 1 species
GAUGCCUUUAACCGGGUGUCGGGGGCGGACGGCACGUUUACUUUGAACAAAUUUGAGUGCUCAAAGCAGGCCUAUGCCUGAAAAUUCUUGCAUGGAAUAAUGGAAUAGGACUUCGGUUCUAUUUUGUUGGUUUUCGGAUCCGAAGUAAUGGUUAAGAGGGACAGACGGGGGCAUUUGUAUGGCGGUGUUAGAGGUGAAAUUCUUGGAUCGCCGCCAGACAAACUACAGCGAAAGCAUUUGCCAAGGAUGUUUUCAUUGAUCUGGAGCGAAAGUCAGAGGUUCGAAGACGAUCAGAUACCGUC